rnacentral:misc_RNA from 1 species
AAUUCUCAACCUUUUUGGCUUUUUCUAAGGUCGAUCAGGCUUGGAUAUGGGAGUUUGCGGGCUUUUCUAAAGUCGGCUCUCCUUAAAUUUAUUAGUAGGGACCUCUGUUGCCUUAGCUUUUGGUGUGAUAAUUAUCUACGCCAUCAUGUGAAGCAGCUUUUAAAAUUGGAGGUUACUGCUCUCUAACCGUCUCAUAUGGGACAUUUCCUGACA